GGUGAACGCUGGCGGUAGGCCUAACACAUGCAAGUCGAACGGCAGCACAGUAAGAGCUUGCUCUUACGGGUGGCGAGUGGCGGACGGGUGAGGAAUACAUCGGAAUCUACUUUUUCGUGGGGGAUAACGUAGGGAAACUUACGCUAAUACCGCAUACGACCUACGGGUGAAAGCAGGGGAUCUUCGGACCUUGCGCGAUUGAAUGAGCCGAUGUCGGAUUAGCUAGUUGGCGGGGUAAAGGCCCACCAAGGCGACGAUCCGUAGCUGGUCUGAGAGGAUGAUCAGACACACUGGAACUGAGACACGGUCCAGACUCCUACGGGAGGCAGCAGUGGGGAAUAUUGGACAAUGGGCGCAAGCCUGAUCCAGCCAUACCGCGUGGGUGAAGAAGGCCUUCGGGUUGUAAAGCCCUUUUGUUGGGAAAGAAAAGCAGCAGGUUAAUACCCCGCUGUUCUGACGGUACCCAAAGAAUAAGCACCGGCUAACUUCGUG
rnacentral:rRNA from 1 species